UUUUGCUAUUUCUAAGACGACUGAGAAAUAACUAUAUCUAAGUCGACCCUAACAACCAUUCGAUCCAUCACUGAGAUUCGUGCAAAAUUCAUAUAAGCAUAAGCAAUGAAAAAAUCUUAAUUGAAUGGUUAUGAUCGUCGACUGAGAAAUAACUAUUUUUAAGUUGACCGAGAAAUAGACAUUCC